UACGUAGGUGGCAAGCGUUGUCCGGAAUUACUGGGUGUAAAGCGCGUGUAGGCGGGAGGCCAAGUCUGCUGUGAAAUCGCUCGGCUCAACUGGGCGGGGUCGGUGGAAACUGGUCACCUGGAGGACGGUAGAGGCGAGUGGAAUUCCCGGUGUAGUGGUGAAAUGCGUAGAGAUCGGGAGGAACACCAGUGGCGAAGGCGGCUCGCUGGGCCGGCCCUGACGCUGAGACGCGAAGGCGUGGGAGCGAACGGGAUGAGAAC
rnacentral:rRNA from 1 species